rnacentral:rRNA from 1 species
UACGUAGGGUGCAAGCGUUAAUCGGAAUUACUGGGCGUAAAGCGUGCGCAGGCGGUUCUAUAAGACAGGUGUGAAAUCCCCGGGCUCAACCCUGGGAACUGCAUUUGUGACUGUAGAGCUGGAGUACGGCAGAGGGGGAUGGAAUUCCGCGUGUAGCAGUGAAAUGCGUAGAUAUGCGGAGGAACACCGAUGGCGAAGGCAAUCCCCUGGGCCUGUACUGACGCUCAUGCACGAAAGCGUGGGGAGCGAAA